rnacentral:rRNA from 1 species
GUCUAUGGCCAUGCCACCCUGAACAAGCCUGACGUCUGAUCUCAGAAGCUAAGCAGGGUCAGGCCUGGUUAGUGCUUGGAUGGGAGACCACCUAGGAAGACCAGGUGCUGUAGGCU